UACGAGGGGAUCCUAGCGUUUGUUCGGAAUCAUUGGGCGUAAAGGGUGCGUAGGCGGCCAAGUAAGUCAGUUGUGAAAUCCCCGGGCUCAACCCGGGAAGUGCUUCUGAUACUGCUUGGCUUGAGUAUUGGAGAGGUGAGUGGAAUUCCAGGUGUAGUGGUGAAAUACGUAGAUAUCUGGAGGAACACCGGCGGCGAAGGCGGCUCACUGGCCAUAUACUGACGCUGAAGCACGAAAGCGUGGGGAUCAAACAGG
rnacentral:rRNA from 1 species